GACGAACGCUGGCGGCGUGCUUAACACAUGCAAGUCGAACGGAGUGGCGAACGGGUGAGUAACACGUGGGUGACCUGCCCUGCACUUCGGGAUAAGCCUGGGAAACUGGGUCUAAUACCGGAUAGUGUGGGAUGGGCCCGCGGCCUAUCAGCUUGUUGGUGGGGUAAUGGCCUACCAAGGCGGCGACGGGUAGCCGGCCUGAGAGGGUGGACGGCCACAUUGGGACUGAGACACGGCCCAGACUCCUACGGGGGGCAGCAGUGGGGAAUAUUGCACAAUGGGCGGAAGCCUGAUGCAGCGAGGCCGCGGGGGGGAUGACGGCCUUCGGGUUGUAAACCUCUUUCGCUAGCGAACGGGUAGGUGGAGAAGAAGCGCCGGCUAACUACGUGCCAGCAGCCGCGGUAAUAC
rnacentral:rRNA from 1 species